rnacentral:rRNA from 1 species
GACGGGUGAGUAAUGCCUAGGAAAUUGCCCUGAUGUGGGGGAUAACCAUUGGAAACGAUGGCUAAUACCGCAUGAUGCCUACGGGCCAAAGAGGGGGACCUUCGGGCCUCUCGCGUCAGGAUAUGCCUAGGUGGGAUUAGCUAGUUGGUGAGGUAAGGGCUCACCAAGGCGACGAUCCCUAGCUGGUCUGAGAGGAUGAUCAGCCACACUGGAACUGAGACACGGUCCAGACUCCUACGGGAGGCAGCAGUGGGGAAUAUUGCACAAUGGGCGCAAGCCUGAUGCAGCCAUGCCGCGUGUAUGAAGAAGGCCUUCGGGUUGUAAAGUACUUUCAGUCGUGAGGAAGGCGGCGUCGUUAAUAGCGGCGUUGUUUGACGUUAGCGACAGAAGAAGCACCGGCUAACUCCGUGCCAGCAGCCGCGGUAAUACGGAGGGUGCGAGCGUUAAUCGGAAUUACUGGGCGUAAAGCGCAUGCAGGUGGUUUGUUAAGUCAGAUGUGAAAGCCCGGGGCUCAACCUCGGAAUAGCAUUUGAAACUGGCAGACUAGAGUACUGUAGAGGGGGGUAGAAUUUCAGGUGUAGCGGUGAAAUGCGUAGAGAUCUGAAGGAAUACCGGUGGCGAAGGCGGCCCCCUGGACAGAUACUGACACUCAGAUGCGAAAGCGUGGGGAGCAAACAGGAUUAGAUACCCUGGUAGUCCACGCCGUAAACGAUGUCUACUUGGAGGUUGUGGCCUUGAGCCGUGGCUUUCGGAGCUAACGCGUUAAGUAGACCGCCUGGGGAGUACGGUCGCAAGAUUAAAACUCAAAUGAAUUGACGGGGGCCCGCACAAGCGGUGGAGCAUGUGGUUUAAUUCGAUGCAACGCGAAGAACCUUACCUACUCUUGACAUCCAGAGAACUUUCCAGAGAUGGAUUGGUGCCUUCGGGAACUCUGAGACAGGUGCUGCAUGGCUGUCGUCAGCUCGUGUUGUGAAAUGUUGGGUUAAGUCCCGCAACGAGCGCAACCCUUAUCCUUGUUUGCCAGCGAGUAAUGUCGGGAACUCCAGGGAGACUGCCGGUGAUAAACCGGAGGAAGGUG